AAUCAACGCUGGCGGCGUGCCUCAGACAUGCAAGUCGAACGCUGCUGUUCGCCUUCGGGUGGACAGCGGAGUGGCGCACGGGUGAGUAACACGUAGGUAAUCUACCUUUGGGUGGGGAAUAACAGCCGGAAACGGACUGCUAAUACCGCAUAAUGCAGCGGCAUCACAUGAUGACAGUUGUUAAAGACGAGGGAUCGUAAGACCUCGCGCCUGAAGAGGAGCCUGCGGCAGAUUAGGUAGUUGGUGAGGUAAUGGCUCACCAAGCCUGCGAUCUGUAACCGGCCUGAGAGGGCGGUCGGUCACACUGACACUGACAUACGGGUCA
rnacentral:rRNA from 1 species